UCGCUCAGCAGGGAUUUCUAAGGUCUGUUGACAGAGGACCUUUUAGGAGAUGAGAUGUCACAUGUGGACUGCAAGGGAACUGCUGAGUCCCACCCUCAGAAGGGCUGGCCUUGGGAAGACCCAGAUGACCCGGUAGCAUUUAGCCUGCAAGGCAGGAAAGACCAAAUUUCCGACUAUUUACAGGAGUAAUUUGAUUCAUCUCUCUGCACGCUGGACUCGGUGUCGGGUGGUGACCCAGCCUCAGCCAGCCAGGCAGGUGACCAUGAGGAACAGAGCGACCCACUGCCAUUAUCUCUUAUCUCAGAACUGUUACGUCAGAUAGAAACGGUUCUGGAAGAGGGAAAGAAUAGAAGUUAGUUCUGGACCACUCAACAUUUGGUGAUUCCUUAACCUGGAGCCAGGAUCUCUCAUUGAACAUGGAGGACAGCAGUUGGCUAGAGGGUAGACUAGCUAACUAACAAGCCUCAGGGAUCCUCCUGUCUCUGCCCUCUCAGCUCUGGGGUUACAGGCGCACACCUCCCCUCCUGGACUUCUCCCCUCCUCCAGCUCAUGCUGGACCCUCCGGCACCUGGACAGCUGUGUGUUGGCUUGCUCCUCCUGCAUGGAAAGAAGACAGAAGCUACACAGUUAUGGAACCUCUCUGUGAUUCUGAGGCUCUGAGGAGUUGGGAUAACCAGGAAAAUGACUUCACUUUGGCCUGCAGCUUGUCCACCAGGUCCUGGAGGCGGAGGAUGUUCUUGCGGUCCUCCUCGGCCUGCAAACAGAACAUCCAUAGCUGAGACCUACAGCCCCUGACUCCUUUUGCUGGGGUCUGCUCCACAUAGCCGUGCUGGAGGGUUUGCAGCUUGCUACCUGAAACUACAGAAAAAGGGCCACUGUGGUGGCAUGCUGCUGAGGCGGGGAGUGGAAAGAAUUGAUAAAAAGGAAGAACAACUCUGCUCAACAAGAAGGGACGAGCGCGGGUGA